rnacentral:rRNA from 1 species
AACGAACGCUGGCGGCAGGCCUAACACAUUCAAGUCGAGCGCGCCCUUCGGGGUGAGCGGCGGACGGGUGAGUAACGCGUGGGAACGUGCCCUUCUCUGCGGAAUAGCCUCGGGAAACUGAGAGUAAUACCGCAUACGCCCUUUGGGGGAAAGAUUUAUCGGAGAAGGAUCGGCCCGCGUUGGAUUAGGUAGUUGGUGGGGUAAUGGCCCACCAAGCCGACGAUCCAUAGCUGGUUUGAGAGGAUGAUCAGCCACACUGGGACUGAGACACGGCCCAGACUCCUACGGGAGGCAGCAGUGGGGAAUCUUAGACAAUGGGGGCAACCCUGAUCUAGCCAUGCCGCGUGAGUGAUGAAGGCCUUAGGGUUGUAAAGCUCUUUCAGCUGGGAAGAUAAUGACGGUACCAGCAGAAGAAGCCCCGGCUAACUCCGUG